rnacentral:sRNA from 1 species
UCUUGGCCCUGAUGGAAGCGACAUCCUUUUUCUGGCUUCUUUAGACAGGAAAAGAUAUAGCGGACAGCAGGAAUAGCU